rnacentral:rRNA from 1 species
UCGAACGGAUUUUUGUCGUAGCUUGCUAUGAUAAAAAUUAGUGGCAGACGGGUGAGUAAUGCAUAGGAAUCUACCUAGUAGUAUGGGAUAGCCACUAGAAAUGGUGGGUAAUACUGUAUAAUCCCUGCGGGGGAAAGAUUUAUCGCUAUUAGAUGAGCCUAUGUUAGAUUAGCUAGUUGGUAGGGUAAAGGCCUACCAAGGCAGUGAUCUAUAGCUGGUCUGAGAGGAUGAUCAGCCACACUGGAACUGAGAUACGGUCCAGACUCCUACGGGAGGCAGCAGUGGGGAAUAUUGGACAAUGGGCGCAAGCCUGAUCCAGCUAUGCCGCGUGAGUGAGGAAGGCCUUAGGGUUGUAAAACUCUUUCAGUGGGGAAGAUAAUGACGGUACCCACAGAAGAAGUCCCGGCAAACUCC